rnacentral:rRNA from 1 species
ACAGCAGCAGCCGCGGUAAUACGGAGGGUGCAAGCGUUAUCCGGAUUUAUUGGGUUUAAAGGGUCCGUAGGCGGAUCUGUAAGUCAGUGGUGAAAUCUCACAGCUUAACUGUGAAACUGCCAUUGAUACUGCAGGUCUUGAGUAAAUUUGAAGUGGCUGGAAUAAGUAGUGUAGCGGUGAAAUGCAUAGAUAUUACUUAGAACACCAAUUGCGAAGGCAGGUCACUAAGAUUUAACUGACGCUGAUGGACGAAAGCGUGGGGAGCGAACAGGAUUAGAGACCCCGGUAGUCCCUGUCUCUUAUAC